rnacentral:rRNA from 1 species
UACGUAGGGUGCGAGCGUAAUCGGAAUUACUGGGCGUAAAGCGUGCGCAGGCGGUUUUGUAAGUCAGAUGUGAAAUCCCCGGGCUCAACCUGGGAACUGCGUUUGAAACUACAAGGCUAGAGUGUAGCAGAGGGGGGUAGAAUUCCACGUGUAGCAGUGAAAUGCGUAGAGAUGUGGAGGAAUACCAAUGGCGAAGGCAGCUCGCUGGGACGGUACUGACGCUGAGACGCGAAAGCGUGGGGAGCAAACAGG